rnacentral:tRNA from 1 species
GCUCCUGUAGUUCAAUGGAUAGAGCAGCGGUCUCCGAAGCCGCAAAUGGCAGUUCGAAUCUGCCCGGGAGCACCA